rnacentral:snRNA from 1 species
UGACCCUCACUUGUGGCUGUCACAUCUGUCACCUCACUGAUCGGCAGCGUUGAUUCGGCUGAUCUGGCUGGGUAGGCGAGUGUCCCCUUCCCCCUUCACCGCUCCAUGUGCGUUCGUCCUGAAGCUGCACGCUCUGUCAAAGAGGACGACCUUCCCUGAUACAGGAGCACCGUUCCUUCAGUUAAGGGUGUGUGAGUGGCUGUGUUCGCCUGCUCGACCUUUCUAGCCAGCUCUCAAGAACUUACUGUCUGUUGGGCUUGCCUUGAACCCCAGCUGGGGAAUCUAUUUUUUUUUUAAAUUUUUAGUUUGAAAUCACAU